GUCAACUCCUCCGGCCCCUCUGCCGCCCCUCGUCCCCUCCUCUCUCUCCCACUCGACUCACUUGUCACCGCCACCUCCCACGCCUGAUCCCGGCGAGGACAUAGCAGUCAGCACCCUCAUGCACGACGGCGGCGGCGAGGUCGGCGCCCUCGUCAUGCGGCACGCAACGCUGGCUGCGGGCUGUGGCCAGCGACGUCGAGUUCUGCUGUGGCGCAAAGCCGAAGCGGUCUGCCACGACCUCCUGUAGCUUUCGCACGCCCAGCGACGGUUGCACGAUCACCGUGCCCAGGUCCACUCUUUACUCCCGUCAGAUCUGGAUCAGCCAGCGCAUGACCGUGUUUGCCUAUGGAGCGAUGGGCAGCGGCAUGACCUACACCAUGCAGGGCAUUGAAGAUCUGUCGGGGCUCAUCCCUUGUCGGUCGCGACAAUCCCGGCGCACUGUACCAACACCUGGUGCUCCGUCGAGAUCUCCUACUACGAGGUGUACAUGGAACUGUACUAUGACUUGCUCGAGCCCAUGACAUUGGAUGACAAAUUUGGUAACCUACAGCUUAAGGGCUUGGCUUGGGUCCCCGUGCCAUCCAUGGAGGAGUUUCAGGAAGCCUACUCGACCUCUCUCCUCGCCGUGACCCAACCAUAAAAUGUUCGGGAUGGCAGAGAAGAAGAUGGAGUACCGGGUCGAGCUUUGAACAUUCAUUGUAUUGAAUUCUUACUAGACACAGAACAAAAUUUGGCUCACAUGUUUCUUUAUGGUCUGAAUGUUCAACAGUUUUGAACCUUUAAGCUACUGUUUUGACAUUAACUGGAUUACAUGAAUCAGUUUGAUACUAUUUUGGUGUUGCUUUCGCUUUAAACUAGUCUCCCUUUC